rnacentral:lncRNA from 1 species
AGAUACAGAUGACCCUCCUACUUAGACUGCAUACUUCUUUCCAUAUCACUGCCCAGCCCAGCUCCAAAUUUCUGCCAAACUAGUGCCUCGUGGGGAGAAGACAUUCAGGACGUAUUUGCCAGUUGGCGGGUCAGCAUUUUCUCUAAGGGCAUUCUGGAAAGCAGCCGUGGACUUGGCCACUUCCAGCAGUUCUACUUUAAACACAAAGUUCCUUGGCUUCCAAUUUCUACAUGAAAGUGCUCCAGUUCCUCUGGUCAGCAGAGAACAUCCUUGGGGUCUCGCAGCCCCUACAGACAUCAUCCAGGCAGCCCAGAGACAAUGUUCUUGUGAGCUUCUGUGUGUAAACAGCCAAGUCCAUGCCUACUACUUCGUUUUAAAAUGCCCCAAACACAAACCCUUUUUGUCAUUUAGAAGAGCAUGGAAAAGCCCCUUCUGCCCCACGGAAUAACAAAAGACCAGUUGGCUUCCUUUCAAAUAUGCUAAUUGCCCAGCUCACACUAGCUGAUGAGAACAAGCAGCUAUUCCAGGAAAGAAAACAAUGGAGGCAGGCAGCGCGCGCAUAUUCCCCCCGGCCUAUGUGGGACUGUUUGUUUCCAGGCGACCGGCGGGCCCUACAGCUGGCUCCAGGCUCCAGAACCCAGACCCAUGCCUGACUUCUUUACUAGAAGUUUGAGGAAAUGUGAUCCUAUCUUUCGGUUCUCUCUGGAUAAAAGUGGAACUAG